GAAAGUACGAUACAUAUCUUCUUUUAUUUAUUUUUCUCUCCUGAUUUUACCAUGUUCCAUACCAUUGGACCGCCUUUUCCAGUAUCUCUACAGCUAAUCAUUCCUGUAGUUUCAUUGUCUUGCAGUUUUAGUUUGUUUUCAUCUCUUUACUCAACGCUGUUUCUUUUGGCGUAAUGCAGUGGGAUUGUUAACCCUUUCAUUUGCUUAGCUACCGAGUAGAAUUUACAGGUUUGACUGAAUUGUGGAGAGGAAUGGCGAUUCGUUGCUGGUGCAGAGUCAGGAGUGCUUGGAGAAGGUUGCCAAGACGGUCUCCUUCCUCGCGCAGCCUGAAGGCUCAUUCCUGCUGUUGCUCACAGUUCAAAAGGACCGCGCGCUGGAGCUCCUAAACGUGCGCCCCUUCUACUUCGUUUACUUAUGUGGCGUGAAGACAUAAAGCAAACCUUUGGAGCCAUAGUUGUCUUUUUUGUCAUCUAAAAUAAUAAUGGUAACAUAUUAAUGCAAACAAAAUAAUAUUGUAGCUCAAAAAAUUGUAUGUGAAUAAUGAAUGGAUGCUAUGGAACUAUAUUUGUUA